rnacentral:lncRNA from 1 species
ACUAACGAAAGCAUUCCUCUCUGUCCUAGUGCUGAAGUUUGCAUGUACACAGAGAAUGAAGUGCCUGCUUCUCCCUCCAGAGGCACAGAGCAGGUUGCACCUGGCUCUCAGUCAACAUUCCAGUGGAAUUGUCACCUUGGAUUGUGUUCCCAUGCACUUAUUACAGGGCAUUAAGGAAGGAGUGUCUGCAGUCUUCUAGAGCAAGCAAGCGGAAAGAGAAGCACAAGAUGCUGGAGAAAUAAGGGAGAGAAUGGACCACAGGCAUUGCUCUUCCUGAGAAGCAUCUCCUAUCACUGCUGUUGGAGACCACAAUAGGCUGCAUGAACCAUGGCUCUGACCCAGUUGGGUGUAAUUUACGUUCUUAUUUUCUUGUAUUCUUGACAGCUGAGUGUGUGCACAGAGCUCAGGCACUGAUGUAGAUCCUGUCCUUUAAGUUAACGAUAAAGUGCAAGUCCUGAUUGGCUGUGUUUAUCUGCUCUCUCCAGAGUUAAGGACUUGUUGCCUUCCCCCACUUUUUGUUCAGCCCUUGUGAACCUCCUAUCUUCUUUGGUUCUCAUUUCCUGACCUCCCUCCACCCAUCUUCACACCUCUGGAUUAUUGAGUAAGAACAGUUCUGUUCUCCAGUGCCAGGCACAGCACAGGAAUAGCCUUUGGAAAUUACCCAGCUUGUUGGGCUGGUGUUCCUGGGUGGCAGAGUCAGAAGCAAGUUAAGGAAAAAGAAAACUUCGCAGAGAUGUGGCUCAGUAACACCUGAGGUGACUAAUUUCAGCACAAGUCAAGCUCCAUACCAUCAUGAUGAGGAAAGUGGUGCUCCAACAACUGAGCUUAUCUGUGAACAGAGAGGCGCAGAAACAUAGUUCUUGAAGACAGAAGUUAUAAUAUAUCUAGGGCUAAUUAGAGGAGUACUUUAAUUUCUUGAACCUGUGCUGAAGAGUGAACUCUUUCCCUUGCAUUUCAAAUUAUGUGAGAAAUAUCUGAAAGUUGACAAGAACAGCUCACUGGGUAUGACCACAGCAAUGCUGAAGGAGGAUGAGACUGUAUCAGGUGUUAGACAGCUCACAUGGAAGAGAAUAGCAACUAUGAAAGUGCAAGUGAGGUACAGAGAGCAGAAAACAGGAUGAGUCUCCAAGGACUGCUACUACCACAACAGCAAGGUUCUGAACGAACACCUUGAAAUUGGUUAUCUCAUGAAUACCUCACUGCCUUUUUACCUGUGUGUUGAUUUCCCAGAGAUUAUUGUUGGGAUCACUUUGAUAUUAAAAAUGAAAGCCUUGCAGCAUCAUGGCAACAUAUGUUAUCUGUGCCCUAAUAUUACGAGAUUAACAAAUGCAUCUGGGUGACUGUUUAAGGAUGACAAUUUGCCAGAGCACUGAGGGUAUAGAAAAAAAAUCAGUGGAGAAUAUAUGAUGAUAAGAAUAAAUAGAAUUCUUCAAGAAAAAUUUCUAAUAGAUAUCUUAACUAAGAUAAAUUAAUCUUAGCUUGUUUAAUCGGACAGGUGCUGUAGAAAAUGACAGUCCUUUAAAGGAGAUGGCCAAGUCAGAAAAGUGUCUUCUAUUAAUGUAUUAGUAGUAUCCACUAUCAAAGCAGACUAAGCUAAGACAGCCAUCUGUUGAUAUCAUAGUGUUUUGGUAGGCUGUUCUGCUUACAACCUAAAAAAUAAAA